rfam:Gossypium hirsutum cultivar TM-1 chromosome 16, whole genome shotgun sequence
AGCCCAUUGUGUGGGCACUUCUUGAUCAUUAAUUUGAAACAUUCCCACACCUCGUACAAGGAUUCACCUUUUUAUUGCUUAAAAUUGGUGAUUUCUCGCCUAAGCU